rnacentral:rRNA from 1 species
GACGAACGCUGGCGGCGUGCCUAAUACAUGCAAGUCGAACGCACAGUUUAUACCUUAGCUUGCUACACCAUACACUGUGAGUUGCGAACGGGUGAGUAACGCGUAGGUAACCUGCCUGGUAGCGGGGGAUAACUAUUGGAAACGAUAGCUAAUACCGCAUAAUAUUAAUUAUUGCAUGAUAAUUGAUUGAAAGAUGCAAUUGCAUCACUACCAGAUGGACCUGCGUUGUAUUAGCUAGUAGGUGAGGUAACGGCUCACCUAGGCGACGAUACAUAGCCGACCGGAGAGGGUGAUCGGCCACCCUGGGACUGAGACACGGCCCAGACUCCUACGGGAGGCAGCAGUAGGGAAUCUUCGGCAAGGGACGAAAGUCUGAGCGAGCAACGCCGCGUGAGGGAAGAAGGUUUUCGGAUCGUAAAGCUCGGUUGUAAGAGAAGAACGGGUGUGAGAGUGGAAAGUUCACACUGUGACGGUAUCUGACCAGAAAGGGACGGCUAACUACGUG